rnacentral:rRNA from 1 species
AGAGCGAACGCUGGCGGCAGGCCUAACACAUGCAAGUCGAGCGCCCCGCAAGGGGAGCGGCAGACGGGAGAGUAACACGUGGGAACGUACCCUUUGGUUCGGAACAACACAGGGAAACUUGUGCUAAUACCGGAUAAGCCCUUACGGGGAAAGAUUUAUCGCCAAAGGAUCGGCCCGCGUCUGAUUAGCUUGUUGGUGAGGUAACGGCUCACCAAGGCUACAAUCAGUAGCUGGUCUGAGAGGAUGAUCAGCCUCACUGGGACUGAGACACGGCCCAGACUCCUACGGGAGGCAGCAGUGGGGAAUAUUGGACAAUGGGCGCAAGCCUGAUCCAGCCAUGCCGCGUGGAUGAUGAAGGCCCUAGGGUUGUAAAGUCCUUUCGACGGGGAAGAUAAUGACGGUACCCGUAGAAGAAGCCCCGGCUAACUUCGUGCCAGCAGCCGC